GCAGGAGUCUGACCCACCUUGGUAGCCAGAGAGGUGGAGAUCCGUGCUUGGUGAGCCCUACCUGUCUUCAAGCUCUGGAGACCCAUGCCAUGCGCAGACUUCUAAGAUUCUGAGGGAAGAGGGGAAGGAAUCCCAUCCUCAAGAAGCCACCUCAGCCUCUGCAUCCAGGAAGAAGCAACAGACGGGCAAGCCACGCCAAUGGCACCCCCUGGCCUGCCACUGUGG
rnacentral:lncRNA from 1 species